rnacentral:rRNA from 1 species
GACGAACGCUGGCGGCGUGCUUAACACAUGCAAGUCGAACGGAAAGGCCUGUCCUUCCUUGUGUUGGACGGGUACUCGAGUGGCGAACGGGUGAGUAACACGUGAGUGAUCUGCCCCCAACUUGGGUAUAAGCCUGGGAAACUGGGUCUAAUUCCCGAUAGGACUGCAGGGUGGUGCCUGUGGUGGAAAACGAUUUUCUAGUGGUUGGGGAUGAGCUCGCGGCCUAUCAGCUUGUUGGUGGGGUAAUGGCCUACCAAGGCGGCGACGGGUAGCCGGCCUGGGAGGGUGGACGGCCACAUUGGGACUGAGAGACGGCCCAGACUCCUACGGGAGGCAGCAGUGGGGAAUAUUACACAAUGGGCGGAAGCCUGAUGCAGCGACGCCGCGUGGGGGAUGACGGCCUUCGGGUUGUAAACUCCUUUCGACCGCGAGGAAGCCGCCUGGUUGGAAGGGUGGUGACGGUAGUGGUAGAAGAAGCACCGGCUAACUACGUG